GUGGGGCAUGGUGGCACACACCUGUAAUCCCAGUAUCUCGGGAGGCUGAGAUAGGAGGAUUAUUGUGAGUUCAAAGCCAACCUCAGCAAAAGUGAGGGGCUAAGCCACACAGUGAGACCCUGUCUCUA
rnacentral:sRNA from 1 species